AGUGAACGCUGGCGGCAGGCCUAACACAUGCCAGUCGAACGGCAGCACAGUAAGAGCUUGCUCUUACGGGUGGCGAGUGGCGGACGGGUGAGGAAUACAUCGGAAUCUACUUUUUCGUGGGGGAUAACGUAGGGAAACUUACGCCAAUACCGCAUACGACCUACGGGUGAAAGCAGGGGAUCUUCGGACCUUGCGUGAUUGAAUGAGCCGAUGUCGGGUUAGCUAGUUGGCGGGGUAAAGGCCCACCAAGGCGACGAUCCGUAGCUGGUCUGAGAGGAUGAUCAGCCACACUGGAACUGAGACACGGUCCAGACUCCUACGGGAGGCAGCAGUGGGGAAUAUUGGACAAUGGGCGCAAGCCUGAUCCAGCCAUACCGCGUGGGUGAAGAAGGCCUUCGGGUUGUAAAGCCCUUUUGUUGGGAAGGAAAAGCAGCAGGUUAAUACCCCGCUGUUCUGACGGUACCCAAAGAAUAAGCACCGGCUAACUUCGUG
rnacentral:rRNA from 1 species